rnacentral:rRNA from 1 species
UACGUAGGUGACCAGCGUUGUCCGGAUUUACUGGGCGUAAAGAGCGCGCAGGCGGUCGUUCAAGUCGAGUGUGAAAGCCCCCGGCUCAACUGGGGAGGGUCACUCGAUACUGAUCGACUUGAAGGCAGGAGAGGGAAGCGGAAUUCCCGGUGUAGUGGUGAAAUGCGUAGAUAUCGGGAGGAACACCAGUGGCGAAGGCGGCUUCCUGGCCUGUUCUUGACGCUGAGGCGCGAAAGCUAGGGGAGCGAACGGG